rnacentral:rRNA from 1 species
CAGCCUGCCCAGUGACUAUUAGUUUAACGGCCGCGGUAUUCUGACCGUGCGAAGGUAGCGUAAUCACUCGUCCUUUAAAUGGGGAAAAGUAUGAAAGGUUAAACGAGGACUCAGCUGUCUCCCCUCCCCAGUCAGUGAAAUUGAUCUACCCGUGCAGAAGCGGGUGUAAAUAUACAAGACGAGAAGACCCUUUGGAGCUUUAGGUACAGGUAUUAACCGUGUCGGGAAGUCAAUAAAAGACUCCCCUCCCACGGAACUAAGACCCUACCUUAGGUUGGGGCGACCAUGGAGAAGAAAAAAACCUCCAGGUGGAAUGGGACAUCCCUAGAACUGAGAGAGCCAUCUCUGAGUCACAGAAAUUCUGACCAAAAAUGAUCCGGUCAACUGACCGAUAAACGAACCAAGUUACCCCAGGGAUAACAGCGCAAUCCUCUCCCAGAGCCCAUAUCGACGAGGGGGUUUACGACCUCGAUGUUGGAUCAGGACAUCCUAAUGGUGUAGCCGCUAUUGAGGGUUCGUUUGUUCAACGAUUAAAGUCCUACGUGAUCUGAGUU